GAUAUCGGAAGAUGCCGAACACCAUGCGAGGUGCCUUCGACAAAUCAAGUCAUUCUCCGUACAGCUGCGCAGGGGGAAGGAAGGGGUUUCCGGUGAAAGCUUUGGCUUACAUUUUCUCCAUGGAUAAACAGGAGAUAAUGCGGAGACAAUCUUCCUUACAUUUGCAUUUGGAUGAUAUCGAUGACUUGAGGAAAAUCAACUUUUGAAAUCUGCUGGAGUAAUAGUUAUAACGACUGUUCAGGAUAACAUGGAUACGAUCUAAAGAUGGGUACGUUACUGAGUACGUGUUUUAAGCCUCGCUACCAUGGAUCCCAUCUCACGGCGCAACAGGUCCACCGGCAGCAGAGGAAACGAUCCAGUGUUUACAGCGCAGACAAUCCCGGAGUAGACGGCAGACGAUACUCCCAGCCGCCAGCCAAUGAGAGGAGGCCGUCGACGCUCUCCCCGCAUGAAGCGGAGCGCAGAUCAUCGAAAAGUGGACCCUCGCCAAGCACGGAAAGAAGAGGUUCAAAAUCAUUCCAGCUUGGUGGGGAAAGACGGGGUUCUAAGACUAAUCAGAAUAGCCAUGACCCUCGCCAGGACCAAAGGAGAGGGUCUAAGAAUUAUCAGGGUGCGCGGAGACCGAGUAAGGAUAAAGACAACUUGAUUACAGGAUUUCUUCGAAGGGCGUCUAUCACGGAUUGAAAAUUACGGAACACUCUACAUUAGAAUUAAGGAAAGAAUACAAUAAUUUCUUUGAUACAUAUAGUUCAGUGCCACUAUAUCUUUCGGUAAUCAAAUAAGGAUAUAAUAUCACUCUUUCUUUUCGAACCAUUGAAUCCGACCAAAGUCGAGGUUUCAGUUUUGUUUGUGGAGUACCCGUAUUAUAGGUUAAGUAUAAUCAGUGAAAGGAAAAACGAAUGGGACGGCCACAUUCAGAUGUGCGGUGGGAGUGUCGAUGAUGCAGUGGCGGAAAAGCUGAAACAUGGAAUCGAUUAAAAUUUGGACUCGAAGAAAACAGAUACCAAAGUUUGACAAAAAAUUUUCAUCAGCGCCGUAUAUCAGGUCCCUGGUGACUGUGUCGAAUGUGUACGGCUAAUGCGUGCGGACAGCGCACUUUUAGCAGAGAGGUUGUCCGUGAUCUUUGCGGAGAAGCAGACAGCUGGGUAGUCUUUCGAAGUAUCUGGUGAAUGCACCGAAUGCUCAUUGCUACCAUAUAGCUCUGCGGACAGCGCGCUUUUAGCCCCGCAGUUGUUUUUCGAUAUCUUUUCAGUGAUAGGAGGAGCGGCUACGACCAUUCUGAAGUCAUGGUGGCUCCUUCCUGCAUGACAUAAGAUGUCCUGUCGAUUAAGGGCCAUUUCAGGGUGGUGUACGGGUUCCCAACUCACAAUAGCUUGUGUUCGGCCUUUGUGUUCGCAGUCUGCUGCGGAGUGUAAGGAAUGAGUGUACAAAUCAAACAUAUAUUUUUAUAUCACAUAAGUGCCAAGACAUCCAGCAAGGAUAGCCAGCAAUGGGGGCACGUGAUAAGUAUAUCGUGAUGUAAACAUUAACCCUGAGCGGUUCAUCCAUAUCAAAACCAAAAUCUACCGGCAGUCAUAUCACCCGAAACAACGGAUUGUGAUUGGUGAUAACCACGCUGAUACGACCAGAAGUAAAAAAGAAUUCAGAAUACCGCAAUGACGUCUCGAGCAGUUUGACGAUGAGGUGCGGGCCUAGCCCUACAUUAUGAUUGGCAGUUGGAACAUUGCAUCAGCAGCAUGUUGGGACAAAAUUAUACAUAUUCGCUACUAAUUCGAAGUUGUUUUAGUUACAGCCAGUUCAGUUAGGCUAGGAUUUUGAUGUUGUGUGUCUUAAUACACCAUUGCCUCACAUCCAGGGUAGGCCUAUAUUUAUAAUUUGAUGUUCAAUUCGCGUGAUUGACGAUGGGAUGAAAAACAGCCUGCGUUCAUGGACUAAGCUGACAUGAUUUUCAAAGAUAGCUUGCCGGAACAAUGCUCUAUCGUUGUAUCAGUCUUAGUUAUGCCCUUCUUCAUUAUAGGUCCUCUGUAACCCGGUGAAACGUCUGCCCGUGUUCCCCAUAUUUCAGUGUUUCCCCUAUUGUUCUCCUAUUCUUUACGGAUGACAUUAUGUACAUGUAGGUGUCGAUACAAAUUCAAGUCGCCAUGACUAAUCAGCCAGUUACAUGUACACAACCAUAAAUUCAGAAAGACUAUCCCUUCCUUUUGAAAACUGUUAAUAACUUAUCGCUGAUGUCGUGGUGAAACUUAUUCUGAGCCACCUGGCUUCUCCCGUUUGCCUUCCUAUAAAUUACUUGAGGUUUGUUGCCGGAUGGUCGCGAGACGUGAAUCUGAGAUUGCAAGGUUAAGACGAUCUAUCGUGCGUUAGCAGUGACUUAAGGAUUGCCGCAGGUCGCUGAUAAAUCGGCAUGAUGAAUGUAUGUGUGGUUGGUCUAAAAGUAAAACCGGUAACAAGCUAUAAUUUUAUCUACGUCGUCGUAUCCGAGUUGCUGUUGUGAUUUAUUUCAAUGUCGUCGAGUAUUGUCUUAAAUUUUAGUCGUAGAAAAGAUCGGGUAAAAUUCUGUGAUGGAAGAACAGGCAAGAAUAUUGCGCAUUAGGCCGUGGCCUAUAUUACUUUGUACGGAAGGAACCUCAUUAGGUUCCCUGACAUAACGUAUUUAUUUCGUGUUAAUGGCCCCAUCGCUUUUUGUUUCAAAGGAAUGCGACUCGCAAUGAUGUUACGUUUGAAGUAUUGAUAACAAUAGGCUACAAUCAUUGUACAGUAUAUGACAAUAAACAGAAAACUAUUUCA